UGCAAACUAGGGUACCCUCUUCCACU
rnacentral:piRNA from 1 species